rnacentral:rRNA from 1 species
UACAGAGGGUGCAAGCGUUGUUCGGAAUUAUUGGGCGUAAAGCGCGUGUAGGCGGCUUGUUAAGUCGGGUGUGAAAGCCCUCAGCUCAACUGAGGAAGGGCGCCCGAAACUGGCGAGCUUGAGUGUCGGAGAGGAUGGCGGAAUACCCCAAGUAGAGGUGAAAUUCGUAGAUAUGGGGUGGAACACCGGUGGCGAAGGCGGCCAUCUGGACGACAACUGACGCUGAGACGCGAAAGCGUGGGUAGCAAACAGG